AUUACUAAUGAAUAUAAUUAAGAUCGACCGCUUCCGGAUUGACCGUUUUACAAACAAAACUAAAAAUGGCGUCAGUUACAGAAAACACAGAUGAAUCAAACACCCAAAUAAAAGAUAUUCCUGCAGAUCAGUGCCCUUCUGUGAGACAACUGGAGGCUCUUGAUGGGAAAAUCUCUGACAGACUAGAACAGAUCGAGCUCUGCACCAUGAUCCUGAAUGACCUGCUGGAAAUGCAGAAAAUAGUCGCUGAAAGAUGCCUUGAAAAUGCAUCACUUUGAGGACUGGAUAACUGAACCGUUUCCUUUCAGUAUUAGAAAUCUACAAUGUCCUUGAUGCUGCCUGAACCCGAAGAAAUCCAGAAUAAGGAAAAGCAAUAGUUUAUUAAGCUAGUUUGUUGCAUUAAAUCAUAAGUUAAUGCCUUAAAAAGUCCCAUGUGUGAAUGAAAACGUAAUGAUGAUGGCACCUGAUGAAGGUGGAAUAAUAAUAAUAAUUAAAAAAAAACAUUGUAGGCUGUCAGUCGAUCUUGAGCAAGAACACAACCAGAAGGGUUGACAGUCAAGCAAGUAGUUCUUUCACCAGUAUUUUUCCAACAAUAAAACAAAUGCAAGAUUUUCAUGUCAUGUGGGGGUCAAUAAAAAAAAAAAUACAUUGAAGCAGCAAUAAUUUUCAACAGGAAAAAUAUACAUAUACACAUAUAACAUUGCAAUGCCCAGAUACAAAACAAAACAGAUGAAGUCACACCAAACAUAACUGUACACAACAAACAUUGAGACUUAAGAAAAAAAAAAGGCUUUUAAAUUUGAAAUACUCAAUGCAAUAGGACACGGCUGUUUCUCUAAAUGAUGACUUGCAUACUAAAAUGACCACUGAAUGCUAACACGCACGAUAUUUUGCUUAUGAACAUGUACAGAUGGAGUGAUUUUAUGUUUUUUCUAUAUGCUCCAUGACAUUGCAUAGUUGCUUAUUUUUGUUAGGUGAUGAAUAAUAACUGCCUUCAAUCAAAAUGAAUAUUUCAUGUAAAGUAACUUGUCAAAACUAGAGUCCUAUGCGAAAUAUGCGAACAAAACAAGGCCGGAAAGCAUGUGCAUUAUUAUAAUUAUUAAGGUACGGUUGAUCAUUAUAUUGGCUGGACCCCAAAGUAAGUGCAUUUAUUAGGGAAAAACUGUGUCGUUCAGACAGAUCGCAUUAUAAUGUUCUAGUACUAGGUUUGCACAGGUCCCAUUAAUAGAUAUUUAAAAAGAAAAUGUAGUGGAUAAAUAACAAAGCAACUGAUUAACAUUUUGGGAGCGACGUACACAGAGCUACCAGCGCAAUGAAGCAUCACUGUCAGUUCACCGUUUAAUUUGGCACUGGAUAGGAAAAGACUCGCUCGGUAAUAUCUAUCCGAUUCAAAUUCUCCAUAUCUAGUCCAUGCUGAAAUGAAAUAACUAUCACGAGUUGUAAGGCAAUUCUUGUCCUACUUGAGUCUGAAACACAAGGAUCUGCGGAGAACUACAUACUGCAUAAGAGAUGCACAGGUGACAGUAAAGGCAGUGCAGAGUCACGUCUCUCAUCUCAUCUCACACCCAAAGUCUGAUUUCUCAUAGUUCUAUACAAAAAUACAAAUACAAUCUAAAGGCUUAAACAUUUAUCAUCUCAAAUGUACUAUGUAUUUACAUGACGGUCAUCUCUUUAGAACCUCUAUACAGCAGUGGUAUAUAAAUGAGGGGCAAACGAGCGGCGUUGAACCGUGGCUGGGUAGUGCACUACAAGCAGGUUAAAAACAACAGGUCAGAUGAGUUGUGUCUGCUUACCUGGUCAGCGCACGCACACACACACGCACACGCACACGGACACACAUGCACAAACACAC